UACGAAGGGGGCGAGCGUUGUUCGGAAUUACUGGGCGUAAAGGGCGCGUAGGCGGCCGAUCAAGUUAGAUGUGAAAGUCCUGGGCUUAACCUGGGGACUGCAUUUGAUACUGAUUGGCUUGAAUUCGGGAGAGGAUAGCGGAAUUCCCCAGUGUAGAGGUGAAAUUCGUAGAUAUUGGGAAGAACACCGGUGGCGAAGGCGGCUAUCUGGACCGACAUUGACGCUGAGGCGCGAAAGCGUGGGGGAGCAAACAGG
rnacentral:rRNA from 1 species